rnacentral:tRNA from 1 species
GGAGGAGUGCCGGAGUGGUCAAACGGUCACGCCUGGAGAGCGUUGAGGGGCGAAAGUCCCACGGGAGUUCGAAUCUCCCCUCCUCCG